AUGCUCCCCGCCUACCUCGUCCACGGAGUCGACGUCUACGGCCACCACCCGCAGGAUCUGCUGCGGCGCCAUCCGCCGGCGACAUCGCCCGACGGCAAGCGUGCCUCCUACUUCGUGAACCUGGUACGCCCCCUCACCGCGACGGAUGCAAGAAGAAGCAGGGUCGUGCCGGGGGGGUUCUGGAAGUCGGAGCGCGCCCCCGUCCCCGUCGAAGCCGCCCCCGACAAGAUGAUCGGAACCAAGCAGGCCUUCUCUUUCAUCUCCAAGGAGGCAGAGCACAAGGGUGGACCCCGCGGCGGGUUCAUCAUGCACGAGCUCCUUCUCCCAGGCCAGGCAGGACGCCUCGCCGGCGGGGACGAGCUGGCGCUCUCAAAGGUCUACCCGUCUCCGCGCGUCGCCACCAAGAAGAGGUCCAGGUCCCAGGGACAGGGACCGACCGCCAGCGCAACAAGGACCGCGGCCGCCUCCUCUGCUCCAGCGCCGACGUCUUCGCCGCCUCUGCUCCAGCGCUCCUGCGACGUCUUCAGCAGCGCAAGAAGCAGCAGCGCCGUCUCCUCUCCGCCUCCUUCCCUGGAGCCGCCGGCCUCCUCUGCUCCGCCUUCCCUGGAGGCCUCGUCUCUCGGGCCGGCAUCCUCUGCGCCGGGGCCGGCAUCCUCUUCUCCGCCCCCCAUCCAGGGAUCGUCUCCAUGGCACCGGCAGGGUGCCGCCAAGAGGGUGCUCCUCCUGGAGGUGGGCGACUCCCCCCCGAGGGAAGGCCACAACAUUUCGUGCCACCAGGUCUACCGCGCCAUGGAGGUUCUUGGACCCGGGAGGCGUGUCCCCAUCGACUGCGCUGACCUCUUCCUGCUUGACAGCGGGAAGGGGAAGAGGCAGCGGACGGCUGCAGAGUUUUGA
rnacentral:rRNA from 1 species